rnacentral:rRNA from 1 species
AUUGAACGCUGGCGGCAGGCUUAACACAUGCAAGUCGAGCGGAGUGAUGGUGCUUGCACUAUCACUUAGCGGCGGACGGGUGAGUAAUGCUUAGGAAUCUGCCUAUUAGUGGGGGACAACAUCUCGAAAGGGAUGCUAAUACCGCAUACGUCCUACGGGAGAAAGCAGGGGAUCACUUGCGGCCUUGCGCUAAUAGAUGAGCCUAAGUCGGAUUAGCUAGUUGGUGGGGUAAAGGCCUACCAAGGCGACGAUCUGUAGCGGGUCUGAGAGGAUGAUCCGCCACACUGGGACUGAGACACGGCCCAGACUCCUACGGGAGGCAGCAGUGGGGAAUAUUGGACAAUGGGGGGAACCCUGAUCCAGCCAUGCCGCGUGUGUGAAGAAGGCCUUAUGGUUGUAAAGCACUUUAAGCGAGGAGGAGGCUCUCUUGGUUAAUACCCAAGAUGAGUGGACGUUACUCGCAGAAUAAGCACCGGCUAACUCUGUGCCAGCCGCCGCGGUAA